UACAGAGGUCCCAAGCGUUGUUCGGAUUCACUGGGCGUAAAGGGUGCGUAGGUGGCGAGGUAAGUCGGAUGUGAAAGCUCGGAGCUCAACUCCGAAAUGGCAUUGGAAACUACCUUGCUCGAGGGUUGGAAGGGGGACUGGAAUGCUUGGUGUAGCAGUGAAAUGCGUAGAUAUCAAGCGGAACACCAGUGGCGAAGGCGAGUCCCCGGACAACUCCUGACACUGAGGCACGAAAGCUAGGGGAGCAAACAGG
rnacentral:rRNA from 1 species